rnacentral:lncRNA from 1 species
AUACGUUCUUUAUUAUUAAGCACAUUUAAACAUCACCACCAUCACUUUAAAGAAGAAUUUCUCUCCUGCUGCUUCUCACUUGAAUAGGGCACAAUCUCUAACCUGUGGUACUGAAUCAUAGCAUAGCGCUUUCUGCUACGGGGAAAAUAAGAUGUUUUCUUUGGGGAAGCAAGCAAGCAGUUCAUUUACCCCAGAAAUCAACAUGUGUUUUUUAAGUAUCCUGAUUCCAGCUGAGUAUUCGUUUACAUCUGUAGGUGUGCAGUCAGGAUGCUAAUAGUUCCCAGUGGGCUGUCAGAUGGUCUUCUGAGAGACCAAUCUUUCUGUGCAACCAAAAUAACGAGCAAAUUAAGCCACAGCUCUAUUACAAAAGUUGAUUUUGCACAUGAUAGCUUCAAGAAACACAACCCACACGCUAGAGGCAACGCUGCAGAUUCUUCUAAUGAUAUAUUUCAUGCCUUUUACCACCCAUGCAGAGUGUCCACAACCAAGAAAGGGAAAAAGGGACUCCAGCCCAGUUCAGGCACUGCCAGAGCAGCCAGAGCCGCAUUCCAGAUGCACAGCCACAUUCUUCCCCGGUGACACCACCCCAGAGGCUGCAGAGAUGCAGGAUAAAACCAAGAAAGCUUUAAUUUGGCUUCCAGUGUGACUUAUCUUCAUUAUUGCCAGUAACUCAAAUCCCUAUUUCGCCAAUACCAUUCCAAGACUGCCACCUAAAGAGUUUUUUUCUGCUUCUGAGCUUCUUGUGCAGCAAUUCAAGCACACAGCAACUCCGGUGCUACUCCUGCAGGCGUCCAGCUCUGCUCCUAAGCAGAAUUUGCACAGUAAGACGUCACAGGGCUGCCAUUUUGAGCACCCUGGACGCAUUUUGAGCGUUUUUAUCUUUACAAAUAAAGAAGUAAAACAACAGAACAUUGUAUUCAAAAUGGUAAAGCAUACUUGUUACAGCUACCCACUUUUUUCUUUUUAACGACAGUUAGCUUUGUUAAGCUGUCACAUCACUUCAUUUUCUUACCGAAAAGAGUUCACUCCAGAUGCCUUGCGGCCAAACCGACAGCAUGCUGGGCCGCACAAGGCAGAGCGCUGCUGUGAGGCCAAGGGAGGUGACCCUGCCCCUCAGCACUGGUGAGGUCAUGCCUGAAACGUUGUGUCCUCCACUGGCCUCCCAGCACAAAAUAGCUAUGGACUUACUGGAGCGAGGCCAGCACAAGGCCACGAAGAUGACUCUGGGACUGGAGCAUCUCAUAGAAGAAGAGAUGCUGGGACUGCUCAGCCUGCAGAAGGCUGAAUGUGUAUAAAUACCUGAUGGGAAGGAAUGGAGAGGAGGGAGCCAGACUCUUCUCAGUAGCAUCCACUGACAGUUAAACCCCAUGAAAUUUCAACUGAACACUUUUUUUUACCGCAAGAGUGGUCAAACACUGGAUGAGGUUGUCCAGAGAGGUUGUGGAACUCCCAUCUGC